rnacentral:rRNA from 1 species
CCUACGGGGGGCAGCAGUGAGGAAUAUUGGUCAAUGGACGAGAGUCUGAACCAGCCAAGUAGCGUGAAGGAUGACUGCCCUAUGGGUUGUAAACUUCUUUUAUAUGGGAAUAAAAUGUUCCACGUGUGGGAUUUUGUAUGUACCAUAUGAAUAAGGAUCGGCUAACUCCGUGCCAGCAGCCGCGGUAAUACGGAGGAUCCGAGCGUUAUCCGGAUUUAUUGGGUUUAAAGGGAGCGUAGGUGGAUUGUUAAGUCAGUUGUGAAAGUUUGCGGCUCAACCGGAAAAUUGCAGUUGAAACUGGCAGUCUUGAGUACAGUAGAGGUGGGCGGAAUUCGUGGUGUAGCGGUGAAAUGCUUAGAUAUCACGAAGAACUCCGAUUGCGAAGGCAGUUCACUGGACUGCAACUGACACUGAGGCUCGAAAGUGUGGGUAUCAAACAGGAUUAGAUACCCGAGUAGUC